CAAGUAAUUAAGUGCAUGUGGUGGAUGCCUUGGCAGUCAGAGGCGAUGAAAGACGUGAUAGCCUGCGAAAAGCUCCGGGGAGGCGGCAAAUAUCCUUUGAUCCGGAGAUGUCUGAAUGGGGGAACCCACCUACUUUAAGGUAGGUAUUGCAACAUGAAUACAUAGUGUUGCAAGGCGAACGAGGGGAAGUGAAACAUCUCAGUACCCUUAGGAAAAGAAAUCAAUUGAGAUUCCCUCAGUAGCGGCGAGCGAACGGGGAUCAGCCCAUUAAGUUAUGUGUGUUUUAGUGGAACGCUCUGGGAAGUGCGAACGUAGAGGGUGAUAUUCCCGUACACGAAAGGGCACACAUGAUGAUGACGAGUAGGGCGAGGCACGUGAAACCUUGUCUGAAUAUGGGGGGACCAUCCUCCAAGGCUAAAUACUCCUGACUGACCGAUAGUGAACCAGUACCGUGAGGGAAAGGCGAAAAGAACCCCUGUGAGGGGAGUGAAAUAGAUCCUGAAACCGCAUGCAUACAAGCAGUGGGAGCACCUUCGUGGUGUGACUGCGUACCUUUUGUAUAAUGGGUCAGCGACUUAUAUUCAGUAGCGAGGUUAACCGUAUAGGGGAGCCGUAGAGAAAUCGAGUCUUAAUAGGGCGUUUAGUUGCUGGGUAUAGACCCGAAACCAGGCGAUCUAUCCAUGAGCAGGUUGAAGGUUGGGUAACACUAACUGGAGGACCGAACCCACUGUCGUUGAAAAGCCAGGGGAUGACUUGUGGAUAGGGGUGAAAGGCUAAUCAAGCCUGGUGAUAGCUGGUUCUCCCCGAAAGCUAUUUAGGUAGCGCCUCGGACGAAUACCAUAGGGGGUAGAGCACUGUUUCGGCUAGGGGGUCAUCCCGACUUACCAAACCGAUGCAAACUCCGAAUACCUAUGAGUACUAUCCGGGAGACAGACUGCGGGUGCUAACGUCCGUAGUCAAGAGGAAAACAAUCCAGACCGCCAGCUAAGGCCCCAAAAUCAUAGUUAAGUGGGAAACGAUGUGGGAAGGCAUAGACAGCUAGGAGGUUGGCUUAGAAGCAGCCACCCUUUAAAGAAAGCGUAAUAGCUCACUAGUCGAGUCGGCCUGCGCGGAAGAUGUAACGGGGCUAAAACUAUGUGCCGAAGCUGCGGAUGUAUACUUUGUAUACGUGGUAGGGGAGCGUUCUGUAAGCCGAUGAAGGUGUGUUGAGAAGCAUGCUGGAGGUAUCAGAAGUGCGAAUGCUGACGUGAGUAACGACAAAACGGGUGAAAAACCCGUUCGCCGAAAGACCAAGGGUUCCAGUCCAACGUUAAUCGGGGCUGGGUGAGUCGACCCCUAAGGCGAGGCCGAAAGGCGUAGUCGAUGGGAAAAUGGUUAAUAUUCCAUUACUUCUGUGUAAUGCGAUGAGAGGACGGAGAAGGCUAAAUCAGCCUGGCGUUGGUUGUCCAGGUGAAAGGAUGUAGGCAUGUAUCUUAGGCAAAUCCGGGGUACUCUAUGCUGAGAUCUGAUAGCAAGCUGUACUUGUACAGCGAAGUGGUUGAUGCCAUGCUUCCAGGAAAAGUCUCUAAGCUUCAGUUACACAGGAAUCGUACCCGAAACCGACACAGGUGGUCAGGUCGAGUAGACCAAGGCGCUUGAGAGAACUCUGCUGAAGGAACUAGGCAAAAUGGUACCGUAACUUCGGGAGAAGGUACGCUGUUGUUGGUGAUGGAACUCGCUUCCUGAGCUGACGACAGCCGCAGAAACCAGGCCGCUGCAACUGUUUAUUAAAAACAUAGCACUCUGCAAACACGAAAGUGGACGUAUAGGGUGUGAUGCCUGCCCGGUGCUGGAAGGUUAAUUGAUGGGGUUAGCGUAAGCGAAGCUCUUGAUCGAAGCCCCAGUAAACGGCGGCCGUAACUAUAACGGUCCUAAGGUAGCGAAAUUCCUUGUCGGGUAAGUUCCGACCUGCACGAAUGGCAUAAUGAUGGCGGCGCUGUCUCCAGCAGAGGCUCAGUGAAAUCGAAAUCGCUGUGAAGAUGCAGUGUACCCGCGGCUAGACGGAAAGACCCCGUGAACCUUUACUGCAGCUUGACACUGAACUUUGACCUUACUUGUGUAGGAUAGGUGGGAGGCUUUGAAGCUGGAACGCUAGUUCCAGUGGAGCCGUCCUUGAAAUACCACCCUGGUAAUGUUGAGGUUCUAACUCUGUCCCGUGAUCCGGGACGAGGACCGUGUCUGGUGGGUAGUUUGACUGGGGCGGUCUCCUCCUAAAGAGUAACGGAGGAGUACGAAGGUGCGCUCAGCGUGGUCGGAAAUCACGCGUAGAGUAUAAAGGCAAAAGCGCGCUUAACUGCGAGACCCACAAGUCGAGCAGGUACGAAAGUAGGUCUUAGUGAUCCGGUGGUUCUGUAUGGAAGGGCCAUCGCUCAACGGAUAAAAGGUACUCUGGGGAUAACAGGCUGAUACCGCCCAAGAGUUCAUAUCGACGGCGGUGUUUGGCACCUCGAUGUCGGCUCAUCUCAUCCUGGGGCUGAAGCAGGUCCCAAGGGUAUGGCUGUUCGCCAUUUAAAGAGGUACGCGAGCUGGGUUUAGAACGUCGUGAGACAGUUCGGUCCCUAUCUACCGUGGGCGCUGGAAAUUUGAGAGGAUCUGCUCCUAGUACGAGAGGACCAGAGUGGACGAACCUCUGGUGUACCGGUUGUGACGCCAGUCGCAUCGCCGGGUAGCUAUGUUCGGAAGGGAUAACCGCUGAAAGCAUCUAAGCGGGAAGCCUACCUCAAGAUAAGAUUUCCCUAGGACUUUAUGUCCUCUAAAGAGCCGUUCGAGACUAGGACGUUGAUAGGUUGGAUGUGGAAGCAUAGUGAUAUGUGAAGCUGACCAAUACUAAUUGCUCGUGAGGCUUGACUA
rnacentral:rRNA from 1 species